rnacentral:rRNA from 1 species
GAUCUUGGCUCAGGAUGAACGCUAGCGACAGGCUUAACACAUGCAAGUCGAGGGGCAGCAUGAUUUGUAGCAAUACAGAUUGAUGGCGACCGGCGCACGGGUGAGUAACGCGUAUGCAACUUACCUAUCAGAGGGGGGAUAGCCCGGCGAAAGUCGGAUUAAUACCCCAUAAACAGGGGUCCCGCAUGGGAAUAUUUGUUAAAGAUUCAUCGCUGAUAGAUAGGCAUGCGUU